CCUACGGGGGGCAGCAGUGGGGAAUAUUGCACAAUGGGGGAAACCCUGAUGCAGCGACGCCGCGUGAGUGAAGAAGUAUCUCGGUACGUAAAGCUCUAUCAGCAGGGAAGAAAAUGACGGUACCUGACUAAGAAGCCCCGGCUAACUACGUGCCAGCAGCCGCGGUAAUACGUAGGGGGCAAGCGUUAUCCGGAUUUACUGGGUGUAAAGGGAGCGUAGACGGCAGCACAAGUCUGGAGUGAAAUCCCGGGGCUUAACCCCGGAACUGCUUUGGAAACUGUGCGGCUGGAGUGCAGGAGGGGUAAGUGGAAUUCCUAGUGUAGCGGUGGAAUGCGUAGAUAUUAGGAGGAACAUCAGGGGCGAAGGCGACUUACUGGACUGUAACUGACACUGAGGCACGAAAGCGUGGGGAGCAAACAGGAUUAGAUACCCGAGUAGUC
rnacentral:rRNA from 1 species